rnacentral:rRNA from 1 species
UAACACGUAUGCAACCUGCCCGUGGCAGGGGGAUAAGCGGGGGAAACCCCGUCUAAUACCGCGUAACGCGGCCUAGGGACAUCCCAAGGCCGCCAAAGGGAGCAAUCCCGGCCACGGAUGGGCAUGCGGCGCAUUAGCUAGUCGGCGGGGUAACGGCCCACCGAGGCGACGAUGCGUAGGGGUUCUGAGAGGAAGGCCCCCCACACUGGUACUGAGACACGGACCAGACUCCUACGGGAGGCAGCAGUGAGGAAUAUUGGUCAAUGGGCGCGAGCCUGAACCAGCCAAGUCGCGUGAGGGAGGACGGCCCUACGGGUUGUAAACCUCUUUUGCCGGGGAGCAACGGGCGUCACGUGUGGCGCCACUGAGAGUACCCGGAGAAAAAGCAUCGGCUAACUCCGUGCCAGCAGCCGCGGUAAUACGGAGGAUGCGAGCGUUAUCCGGAUUUAUUGGGUUUAAAGGGUGCGUAGGCGGAUCGUUAAGUCAGUGGUCAAAUUGAGGGGCUCAACCCCUUCCCGCCAUUGAAACUGGCGUUCUUGAGUGGAAGAGAAGUAUGCGGAAUGCGUGGUGUAGCGGUGAAAUGCAUAGAUAUCACGCAGAACCCCGAUUGCGAAGGCAGCAUGCCGGCUUCCGACUGACGCUGAAGCACGAAAGCGUGGGGAUCGAACAGGAUUAGAUACCCUGGUAGUCCACGCGGUAAACGAUGAGCGCUAGGUGU